GAUGAACGCUGGCGGCGUGCUUAACACAUGCAAGUCGAACGAUGAAGCCCAGCUUGCUGGGUGGAUUAGUGGCGAACGGGUGAGUAACACGUGAGUAACCUGCCCUUGACUCUGGGAUAAGCCUGGGAAACUGGGUCUAAUACUGGAUAUGACUUCUCAUCGCAUGGUGGGGGGUGGAAAGAUUUAUUGGUCUUGGAUGGACUCGCGGCCUAUCAGCUUGUUGGUGAGGUAAUGGCUCACCAAGGCGACGACGGGUAGCCGGCCUGAGAGGGUGACCGGCCACACUGGGACUGAGACACGGCCCAGACUCCUACGGGAGGCAGCAGUGGGGAAUAUUGCACAAUGGGCGCAAGCCUGGUGCAGCGACGCCGCGUGAGGGAUGACGGCCUUCGGGUUGUAAACCUCUUUCAGUAGGGAAGAAGCGAGAGUGACGGUACCUGCAGAAGAAGCGCCGGCUAACUACGUG
rnacentral:rRNA from 1 species